rnacentral:lncRNA from 1 species
GGCCUUCUAUGUCCUUUGUUGAUCUGCACUCAUUAGCCCAAUGUUUUCCUUUUCUACAUUUAUGGCAUAUUCCUGGCUGUCUAGGUUUAUCUAAUGGAGUCCUUUUCUCAUUUUCGGGGCAUUGUCUUCUAAAAUGUCCUCUCUGACCACAUUUAUAACAAGUAUCAUUAUUAGAUCUACUCAAUUGUAUUACAGCUGCCGCCAGGCCUGCAUUGGUUAACGGGCCCCCUAGUUCUCUGCAAACCUUCAUCCAAACCUCUAAACCUUUAUGUUUAUAGGGUGUAAUAGCUGCUCUACACUCCUUAGUGCAUUGCUCAUACACUAGCUGUUUUACCAAGGGCAUAGCUGUAUCAGGGUCUCCAAAAAUUCUAGUGGCUGCUUCAACAAGGCAUGCUACAAAAUCUGAAAAUGGUUCUGUGGGGCCCUGCAAAAUUUUCGUAAGAUUGCCUGAGACUGCGCCUUUGUUCGGUAAUGCCUCCAGGCUUUGGUAGCUACCUCAUUUAUUUGGGCAUAGACUGCUUCAGGAUUUGUUUGAUCUAAAGCAAAACGUCCUAAACCCAGAAGCAUGUUUGCAUCCCAGUGUCUCUGAGGAUCUUGUCCUGUGGCUAAAUUUGCUGCUGCCUGACUGUUUGCAUAUUCAUAGGACAAGGACUUCCAGUUUAAAUACUGUCUGGACGACAAACAAGCCUGAGUAAUAUUAUUCCAGUCCCCCGGGGUGAGGCAAUAUCUAGCAAGCGCCUUGACCUGUGCAACUACAAAAGCUGCACUCACCCCGUAGGUACGGACUGACUCAGCCAGUUGCUUAAUAGUUUUAAAAUCUAUUGGCUCAUGAUACCGCUGUUGUCCCUGGCCAUCUAAGAAGACAGGGAAAGUCAGUCCAACUUCCUUCCAAACCUCUGGGCAAAAUGAGGUACCUUGUUUACCAGCUUUUGUGGAGCGGUCAGCACUUUCGAUUUUACUCUUUUGCCAGCCGACCCCCCCCCCCCUUUUUUUUAAAGGAUUGGUUUUGUAUGACUAAUCUGGAUCUUACCUAUCCCUCUCAUACCGAGCUGCCUCUUCUUCUAGGUCAGCUUCCUCAUCUUUGUCAAGCUCUGAGUCACUGGAGUCAGAACUUGCUGAACUUACUGUUAAGUCUUUUAAUGAGGGAUAUCUUUUUGCUAUUUCCUUUUCUUUCUCAUUAUUUCCUUUUUCUUUUGAAUUUGCCCUUUCUCCCUUCUCCUUUUCUCUUUUUUGCCCCUUUUCUUUCUUUUGCUUAUGUGUUUCCUAUCUUCCUCUGACAUACUUUCUUGUUGUUCCGUAAGAAUUUUCUGACCUGCCUUAACUGCUUCUAUCAAACAAAAGCAGAGGCCAGAAAUUACAAAAAAACGAACAACGAUAAGAGCUACCCACACUGGGUCCACGGGCAAGAAAAACAUAUCCCCUCUUUUAACCGGGGAUCAAUUUGGGAGACUUACCAGUACCACCGUUCCUCAGCUGAAGAGUUCUGAAUCCACGAGAUCCUCGGGUCCCUGUGCGGGCCACCAAUUUGUUGCGCCCACCUCGUCCGGCAAGGAAGACACAACACGGUUGGAUUCUUCUCAACAGCUUUAUUGCAGGAAUGCCUCGCCUCGAUGCUGCUACGGGAACCCCAGGCACCCAGGGAGGACUCCUUAUAUACACCCCAGCACAGGGAAAAGCUUUGUGUCCUCCUGGGAUUGGUCAGUCUGCGGGCACCUUAAUUUGCAUGCACCUGCUCGGGAGGGGUUGGCGCCAGAUUCGGGCUAGCACCUGUGCAGUGGUGGUGUUUACUGCAAUGAUGUACCGGAAACGGGUGCCAUCUUUUAGGCUUCGGCUGCCUAC